CCUACGGUGUGCUGCAGUGAGGAAUAUUGGUCAAUGGGCGGGAGCCUGAACCAGCCAUGCCGCGUGAAGGCGAGUGCCCUACGGGCGUUAAACUUCUUUGGUGCGGGAGCAAGAAGGGCCACGGGGGGCCCGAUGAGAGUACCGCACGAAUAAGCAGCGGCUAACCCCGUGCCAGCAGCCGCGGUAAUACGGGGGAUGCUAGCGUUAUCCGGAUUGAUGGGGUUUCAAGGGGGCGUAGGCGGUCCGUUACGUCAGCGGUAACAUUGCGGGGCUCACCCCCGUCGAGCCGUUGAAACUGGCAGACUUGCGUUGGCGAGAAGUACGCGGAAUGCGCGGUGUAGCGGU
rnacentral:rRNA from 1 species